GGUCUGUAGGCCUAUUUGCGAAAAAAUUAGUUGGGCAAAAAUUAUCUUUCUCCAUUAUUCCACUUUAUAAUAAUAAUAAUAAUAAUUAAAACUGUUUAGUUAAACACGUUUCAAAAAUUGUUAUAUGUUAUUUUUAAUUUAGCAUUAUUGCUAGGAUUGCACUAAGGGAGCAGUGACGCCCAGUUUGUUGGCUGCUGGUUCAUCAGUGCGGCGCGCGCGGGGUGCGUGAGCGCUUGGAGACGUAGCGCUGCGCGUGGGUCGCUACGAGGGGUGUGUGCGUCCGUGACACUACUCCACAACACCGAUUAGGCAUCAUAUAUCAACCUACGGCGGGUCACGGAGCAUCGCAUCACUCACCCUGGAAACCAACGCUCUUAAACGGCAUCCGCGCAAUUCUGCCAUUCAGUCCGUUUGAACAGCGCGCAUACGCGAAUACACCCUACUCCGGAGGUGUCUUUUAAUACCGGACAAUGACUCUGACCCAUAGCCGGAGAUAGGAAUGGAUCCAAGAGUGUGGAGGAUGCUCGCCCUGCUCGGUGUGUUUGCAGUUUUGCUGGAGGUGAAUGGUGAUGACAGCUACCUGAAUGCAGUGCAGAAUACAGGUGAGUCAAUAUACGAGUCCUCUCUGUUUUAGAUCCCAUGUGUUUGAGUAUAUAGUGUGCAAAUGUUGCUGUGCUUUACCAGUAUGAAACUUUAAUGAAGGAAGUCAUGAAAUCAGACAUCUUACAUUCAAAACACAAUAUAAAAACAAUAGAUUAUCUCAAAAUCUCCAAAAAAUGAUUAUUAGAGUACUGUUUACAAUAUAAUUCACUGUGUUUGCCAUUUCUUUGUAUUGAAUUGUUAAAUUUCCUAGCAAUUUCUGGGUGGAAAUUGUUUCUACAGUAUUUUUUCAGAGAUGGUGCAUGUAAACAAUGAUGUAUAAAUAGCAGUGUGUAUCAUCUGGCAAACUGUGAUUGGAUCACCCCAAACAGGUCUGUUAAAGCCAUUUAUUCUGAUAAGCCAUUUUGACAUAUGAUA
ensembl:lncRNA